UACUGCAGCAGCAUAUGGAAGCACUGUUUGCUAUAUGAAAACAGUGAAAUUGAAAAUACCAAAAGACAUAUUGUUGGAAUUUUGGAGAAAAAGACAAAAACAGAAAAGAAAUAUGCAAAACUAAAAAGAAAAAAAAAAAAAAAAAAAAACCAGACAGUGAAUAUAACAACAGUAAAAUUAAUAAACAGCAAUAUAAAAAACCCGGAGCGACAGGAAAACCCAUCAGGAAGUGCCGUUCCAAAAGGCAUUACUUCCGACACCAACCAGAACCAGCCAGAACACCCGUCAUUGCUAGCUUGGAGUGUUGACAUUGACAGCUUUUGAACAUUUGUGGAGCAGGUGCACCAUGGCUUGCCGCAAUGUCACAACUGGUCCUUGGAGAGCCGCUGGUGGUGACGGGCUGCCUGUGUCCUCUCUGCGACAAAACUCCACAAAUACUCCACUCACCAAGUUCCAGAGGGAGAGGAUCACCAGACACCACCGGCCGUACUAAAGGAAGUUGCUCUAUGUAGGGAUGGAACAUGGCAUCUGCACCAGCUGGGACACACUUAGCCAACU